UACGUAGGGUGCAAGCGUUGUCCGGAAUUAUUGGGCGUAAAGAGCUCGUAGGCGGUGUGUCGCGUCGGCCGUGAAAACCUGCAGCUUAACUGUGGGCUUGCGGUCGAUACGGGCAUCACUGGAGUUCGGCAGGGGAGAGUGGAAUUUCGUGUGUAGGGGUGAAAUCCGUAGAUCUACGAAGGAACGCCAAAAGCGAAGGCAGCUCUCUGGGUCCCUACCGACGCUGGGGUGCGAAAGCAUGGGGAGCGAACAGG
rnacentral:rRNA from 1 species